UACAGAGGGUGCGAGCGUUGUCCGGAAUCACUGGGCGUAAAGGGCGCGUAGGUGGCCCGACAAGUCCGUGGUGAAAGCUCGACGCUCAACGUCGAGUCGGCCAUGGAUACUGUUGGGCUGGAGCACUGUAGAGGCUCAUGGAAUUCCGGGUGUAGCGGUGAAAUGCGUAGAGAUCGGGAAGAACACCAACGGCGAAAGCACUCUGCUGGGCCGAAACUGACACUGAGAGACGAAAGCUAGGGGAGCAAAUGGG
rnacentral:rRNA from 1 species